AUGCUUAAUGAAGUUAACGCGAGAUAUUCACCGAAGUGAGGGCGAGCAAGGAUAAAUUUCCUUCCCCCUUUAAAGACCUUGUACCGGAUCCAAAAAAUUCAGUGACCGAAGAGUCACUGUAUGGUGUGACAACAACAAUUCAUGAAGUGCAAGCUGUAUUGUUGAGUAUGAUUCACAAAGACACUAUACUAGUAGGACACAGCUUGGAAAGUGACCUCAAAGCAACAAAGAUAAUUCACAAUAAAGUAAUUGAUACCUCUGUGGUAUUUCCCCGCCGACUGGGACCUCCUUACAAGAGAGCUCUUCAUAAUCUCAUGGCUGAACACUUCAAAAAGAUUAUUCAGGAUAGUG